CAAAACCUUUUCCUACAAUUUCUGAUUCUGGCAUGAGCUCUAGCUUCCCUGGCUUUCAACAACCAGGAAUCCAAUUAUCAGUUGAACAGAAAGAGGAUAUUUGCCGGGAUGGCUCUCAUGAGUCGAUUGAGAAUUACAACCCUCAACAGAAGACAUCAAUUGACGAAAAGGUUCAAACAUUUAUGCAUUCAGAUAAUGCAUGGAGUGGACAAAUGUUUGAUCACUCACAAAGUGCUGCACAGCAUCAGAAAGUAUCCUUGAGUGAUAUAUCUAUGCCCAAAGGCAGUGAGAGCAUGGUAAAAAGUCAACAUCAGAUGAGUAAUGGCCCUCAUGUUGCACUUAACUCUUGUGUUGGAGUCAAUGAAACAGACAAAAAGAAGCAGACUUGCCA
rnacentral:misc_RNA from 1 species